AUUGAACGCUGGCGGCAUGCCUUACGCAUGCAAGUCGAACGGUAACAGGUCUUCGGAUGCUGACGAGUGGCGAACGGGUGAGUAAUACAUCGGAACGUGCCUAGUAGAGGGGGGUAACUACUCGAAAGAGUGGCUAAUACCGCAUGAGAUCUACGGAUGAAAGCAGGGGAUCGCAAGACCUUGUGCUACUAGAGCGGCCGAUGGCAGAUUAGGUAGUUGGUGGGAUAAAAGCUUACCAAGCCGACGAUCUGUAGCUGGUCUGAGAGGACGAUCAGCCACACUGGGACUGAGACACGGCCCAGACUCCUACGGGAGGCAGCAGUGGGGAAUUUUGGGCAAUGGGCGAAAGCCUGAUCCAGCAAUGCCGCGUGCAGGAUGAAGGCCUUCGGGUUGUAAACUGCUUUUGUACGGAACGAAAAGCCCCGGGUUAAUACCCUGGGGUCAUGACGGUACCGUAAGAAUAAGCACCGGCUAACUACGUGCCAGCAGCCGCCGCGG
rnacentral:rRNA from 1 species